UACGAGGGGGGCAAGCGUUGUUCGGAAUUAUUGGGCGUAAAGGGCGCGUAGGCGGUGCGGUAAGUCACCUGUGAAAACUCUGGGCUCAACUCAGAGCCUGCAGGCGAAACUGCCGUGCUUGAGUGUGGGAGAGGUGCGUGGAAUUCCCGGUGUAGAGGUGAAAUUCGUAGAUAUCGGGAGGAACACCAGUGGCGAAGGCGGCGACCUGGACGGACACUGACGCUGAGACGCGAAAGCGUGGGGAGCAAACAGG
rnacentral:rRNA from 1 species